rnacentral:rRNA from 1 species
GACGUAGGGCGCGAGCGUUGUCCGGAUUUAUUGGGCGUAAAGAGCUCGUAGGCGGCCUGUUGCGUCUGCUGUGAAAUCCCGGGGCUCAACCCCGGGCGUGCAGUGGAUACGGGCGGGCUAGAGGCAGGCAGGGGAGAACGGAAUUCCCGGUGUAGCGGUGAAAUGCGCAGAUAUCGGGAGGAACACCGGUGGCGAAGGCGGUUCUCUGGGCCUGUUCUGACGCUGAGGAGCGAAAGCAUGGGGAGCGAAACAGGG